rnacentral:rRNA from 1 species
UGGGGAAUUUUGGACAAUGGGGGAAACCCUGAUCCAGCUAUCCCGCGUGUGCGAUGAAGGCCUUCGGGUUGUAAAGCACUUUUGGCAGGAAAGAAACGACAUGGGUUAAUACCCCGUGAAACUGACGGUACCUGCAGAAUAAGCACCGGCUAACUACGUGCCAGCAGCCGCGGUAAUACGUAGGGUGCAAGCGUUAAUCGGAAUUACUGGGCGUAAAGCGUGCGCAGGCGGUUCGGAAAGAAAGAUGUGAAAUCCCAGAGCUCAACUUUGGAACUGCAUUUUUAACUACCGGGCUAGAGUGUGUCAGAGGGAGGUGGCAUUCCGCGUGUAGCAGUGAAAUGCGUAGAUAUGCGGAGGAACACCGAUGGCGAAGGCAGCCUCCUGGGAUAACACUGACGCUCAUGCACGAAAGCGUGGGGAGCAAACAGG